GUUUGAUCCUGGCUCAGAUUGAACGCUGGCGGCAUGCUUUACACAUGCAAGUCGAACGGCAGCACGGGAGNNUNAAUCCUGGUGGCGAGUGGCGAACGGGUGAGUAAUACAUCGGAACGUGUCCUAAAGUGGGGGAUAACGCAUCGAAAGAUGUGCUAAUACCGCAUAAUCUCUAAGGAGGAAAGUGGGGGAUCGCAAGACCUCAUGCUUUUGGAGCGGCCGAUGUCUGAUUAGCUAGUUGGUGAGGUAAUGGCUCACCAAGGCGACGAUCAGUAGUUGGUCUGAGAGGACGACCAGCCACACUGGGACUGAGACACGGCCCAGACUCCUACGGGAGGCAGCAG
rnacentral:rRNA from 1 species